rnacentral:lncRNA from 1 species
GUGGUGUAACUCUGCAGUCCCCGGCCUUGAGAGUGCAUGGUGCAACAAAACAGAGGCCUCCCCUUGGGACUUUACCAGUGGACAUUCAUUUAGCUUCCAAGACUGUAGCCUGUAAAGGACACAGUUGUCAGGAGGUAGUUGGAAGAAGCCAAAGCUACACCGUGUUUCAAACAGCUGGAGAAUAGCACAAAUACUGGAGAAAAAAAACACAUGCAACAUCCUGUGAGCUGGCGUUUUCAUAGAAUUUAAAAAUAAAUGUCAAGAAACGG